rnacentral:rRNA from 1 species
GAGUUUGAUCCUGGCUCAAGACGAACGCUGGCGGCAUGCCUAACACAUGCAAGUCGAACGGGGAUAGCAAUAUCCUAGUGGCGAACGGGUGAGUAACGCGUGAGUAACCUGCCUCAUACAACGGGAUACCUGAGGGAAACUUCAGUUAAUACGGUAUAAGACCACACUGCCGCAUGGCAGAGGGGUAAAAGGAGCAAUCCGGUAUGAGAUGGACUCGCGUCGCAUUAGCUAGUUGGUGAGGUAACGGCCCACCAAGGCGACGAUGCGUAGCCGACCUGAGAGGGUGAUCGGCCACAUUGGGACUGAGAUACGGCCCAGACUCCUACGGGAGGCAGCAGUGGGGAAUAUUGGGCAAUGGAGGAAACUCUGACCCAGCAAUGCCGCGUGAAUGAAGAAGGUCUUCGGAUUGUAAAGUUCUUUAGUCAGGGAAGAAAAAAAUGACGGUACCUGAAGAAUAAGCUCCGGCUAACUACGUGCCAGCAGCCGCGGUAAUACGUAGGGGGCAAGCGUUAUCCGGAUUUACUGGGUGUAAAGGGAGCGUAGACGGCAGCGCAAGUCUGGAGUGGAAUGCCGGGGCCCAACCCCGGAACUGCUUUGG